AUCGCUGGUUCGUGCCUGACACGUUUACUUCAGUUCGGCUGGAUAGGCGACAGGGGUACGCAUGGCUGUCGUCAGCGUCGUGUCGUGAGAUGUUGGGUUAACCUCCCGGGAACGUUGCGCAACCUCGGCCUUUAGUUGCCAGCAUUUAGUUGGGUACGUCUAAAGGAACCGCCGGUGAUAAGCCGGAGGAAGGUGGGGAUGACGUCAAGUCCUCAUGGCCCUUACGCGUGGGCUACACACGUGCUACAAUGGCGACUACAGUGGGCAGCCAGNUCGCGAGAGGGAGCUAAUCUCCAAAAGUCGUCUCAGUCUCGGAUCGUUCUCUGCAACUCGAGAGCGUCGAAGGCGGAAUCGCUAGUCAAUCGCGGAUCAGCAUGCCGCGGUGAAUACGU
rnacentral:rRNA from 1 species